UCCUACAGGGAACUAACUUGCUGCUUGCUUUUCUGCCAGCCUAAUUGGCAUUGUGUUAGCAGUGACUGGCAAUAACAGUAUAUAGUGUUGUCCUUCCCAGAUGGUAUUUAUUCUUUAAAAACCUUUGUUGAUUUUGCAAUCCGAAGAAAUGACAAUCGUGGUCAUGCCAACAGGGAGUUGGACCCACUGGAGCCCCCACAGAAAUCAUGACCAGGGGUUUUCAUUUCUACAAAAACUCCUGGGUUCUGAAGCUUAUUCUUCAAAAGAUGGUCUCCAUAUACAGUUCCUCCUUUCAAUCUAAUUCAGCAAAUAUUUUGCCACUAGUAACAGAACCAUGUGCUCGAUAUGUCACUGACUCAGGUACUGUGGAGAAAUUAAAGAGUUAUGCCUCGUUUUCUCCAAGGUGCCUGUCGGUGCAAAUGAAACUUACCUACAACUGAAACAGCCACAAAGCAGCAGGCUAAAAUUCAUCAUCAGGUACUAAAUUCUGAUGUAGAGCUGACAGUACUACAGGAGUUCAAAGAGGGAUAAAUCAAGGUGAUUGUCUAUUCUGGAGGGAUGAGUGAGUUAGGGGUUAGCAGGCAGAAGGGGAAAGCCAUUCAAGGUAUGGACGAUGUUCUCGGCUAUAGUAGAUAUCAGAGCUAACCCAAAGCUGAUGCUCUGAGCCAUUUCUAAGUACUGAGUGAAAGGCUGCCUCUUUUGAGGUUCAUUUUGCACCUUCAGAUUGUUCCCAAGGUGAAGGUGAGACAAGAGGCCAUUUGCCACAAGCAGGCCAUCAACACAGUCGGUGCUGGUGAUCUCAAAGCCUGGUUCUCCAGGCAUAGCAUGAGCAAAUAUCUGUCAAAAACUUGGGAAGUGAAAUAUUUCCAGAUGAUCAAGUGACCAAGGUCAAGGGUUCAAUCCUGGGUAGGCUAGUUAGCUUUGCCUGUUUCAUGACAUGAGUUUGUGCUGCUAACCCCAGGCCAACUGUUACAUCUUAGUCAUAAGAAGCCUGGGAAGAACAUAAAGAGAUUUUGAUGAAUCUGCUACCACCAUUAAAAAAUCCACUGUUGGAGUUCCUGUUGUGGCACAGCAGAAACAAAUCCUAUGAGGAUGCGGAUUCAAUCCCUGGCCUUGCUCAGUGGGUUAAAGAUCCUGCAUGGCCGUGAGCUGUGGUGUAGGUUGGAGACACAGCUCAGAUCCCGUGGCUAUAGCUGGGAUCCCAAGUUGCUGUGGCACAGCCUCUUUUGACCCCUAGCCUGGGAAAUUCCAUGUGCUGACCCUGUGGCCCUAAAUAGAAAAAAAAAAUCCAGUUUAAUACUGGCUGAGUUUACUGAUAUGUUGGCAAUCUCGAAUCUUUUUUGUUGUUGUUGUUUAUUUUUAUAUCAAUAAAAUAUGCUCAUAAUAGCAGUAUAGUAUAGUGGCUGAGCGUAGCAGGCAAGAGGUAAAUUGCCUGGGAUAAAAUCCUAACUCAGCUGAAUGACUUUGGACAAGGCACUUUAUGUCAUUGCACCUCAGUUUUUGUGUUUUUUUGUUUUGUUUUGUCUUUUUCUCCUUUUAGGGCUGCGCCUGCUGUGUGUGAAUGUUCCCAGACUAGGGGUCGAAUCGAAGCUGUAGCCGCCGGCCGACGCCAGAGCCACAGCAACGCCAGAUCCGAGCCAUGUCUGCAACCUACACCACAGCUCACAGCAACGCUGGAUCCUUAACCCACUGAGCAAGGCCAGGGAUCAAACCCACAACCUCAUGGUUCCAAGUCGGAUUCGUUUCCACUGCACCACGGUGGGAACUCCUAUUGUUGUUGUUUUUUCAAUUUGAAAAAUAGGGGUGGUGGUGGUAAUAUUUUCAUAGGAUUGUUUCAAGGUAUACAUGAGAUAGUAUAUGUAAAAGGAUUAGAGGGCAUAUUGGAUAUGCAAUAAAUACUAGCUCAUCACUAUGAUGGUCAUUAUUUAUCCAGAAUGGAUCUUGGAGGGCAUCUAGUUAAAUAAUACCAUUUUACAAAUAAGGAAAUUCAGCUCUUGAGAGGUAAAGUGACUUUUUGACAAUCAUUAGUAAAAUAGAUACUAGUACCCUUGGCUCCUGACUCAUAAACAAGAAAACGUAUGUUUAUGUGUUAUCUUACCCAUUAACAUAACACAUUCACACACGUUAUUUCCCAAAUGCUCCCUCUUCUACCAUGUUGCCUCUCCAAACUGAAUGGCUAAAACAUUUUUCAGGCACCCUGGUAGAAGAGGAUCCCGUAGGCUGCGAUUCUCAGUGAGUUCCAGGAAGAGGCACUUGUGUAAUGAGACGAUGGAAGGGCAUGGGGAGGACACAUCUCAACGUGCAGCAGACAAAUGUGAGGCCUUCAGGGCUGUAGCAAAGUUAGGUUCCAUUAUUAAUUUGAUGUUGUGUUAAAUUAGAUUUUUUUUUUUUUUUGUAUUUUUAGGGCUGCCCCUGCGGCAUAUGGAAGUUCCCAGGCUAGGGGUCAAAUCGGAGCUGCAUCUGCCAACCUAUGCCACAGUCACAGCAACUCAGGAUCAGAGUUGCAUCUGCAACCUAUACCACAGCUCACAGCAGUGCCAGAUCCUUAACCCACUGAGCGAGGACAGGGAUCCAACCUGCAUCCUCAUGGAUGCCAGCCAGGUUCAUUACUCCUGCGCCAUGAUAGGAACGCCCUCAAAUCCCUAAUUUUAGAAACAUUUUUCUUCUUUCUGUUCACAAGAUGUUGUUAUAGAUUGCAUCGUGUCCUUCCAAGCCUUAAUCCCCAGUGCAGCACUAUGUGGGGGUAGGAACUGGGGGGAGGUAAUUAGAGUUAAAGGAGGUGGUAAGAGUGGGGUUCCUAAUCUAUAAACACUGGUGUCCUUAGAAACAGAGCAAGAGCCGAAGGGUUCUCUCUCUCUCCUCACAUGGAGGAAAGGCCACGAGAAGACACAGGGAGAAGGCAUCUGUCUAUAAGCCAGAAAGAGCAGCCUCUUCAUGAAACCAACCUUGCUGGCAGCUUGGUCUUGGACUUCCAGCCUCUAGACCUGUGAGAAAAUAAAUUUCUGUCGUUUAAGCCUCACAGUCCAUGGUAUUUUGUUAUGGCUGCCCCAGCAACUCCAUACAACCUGCUGUUCUAUUAAAAGAACAUCCUUUGCCUGACUGUUGGAUAUGGCUUUAUUCAUUUUUCCUGCUUGCUCUCUUUCUAGAAUGCUGUCAUAUUCAGUGUCCCCUCCUUUUCUGCAAAGAUGCUUCCUCGUAUAUGCCUGUAUGGCUGGCGUUCAGGGCUGGUGUUCAAAUGAGCCAUGGUUCUACUGUUCCUCAGUCUUUGUACACAGAGGGGCAUGUGUAUGUUUAUGUAUGUAUGUAUGUUCAUCAUAAAUAUAUGAUUGAUGACAAGGCUUGGGCUUGUGCAAUAUAAGAGCUGGCUUCACCAUCCUUAGGUCCACAGGGCAGACAAUCAGGAAGAGAGGAGAGAAAAUUGCAGUUCCAGCUGCUGCUUCAUAUCAAUGAGGUGAGUCAGCCGAUCUAGGACAGUGACAAUGAGGUGAGUAUGAGUAUUGUGAUCUUGGAAUGUGGGAAUGUUUUCCUGUUUACUUUCUCCUCUAUUGCCUGGAAUCUUUGCUAUUCAAAGAGGGCUUAGUUUUUAAAGGGCUCCCACCUCGUUAUGUCAGGCCCAUCCAGGAUAAUCUCUCUUUUGAUUAAAUCAAAAUCAGUUGAUGUAGAAAUUUAAUUGCAUCUGAAAAAUCCCCUCACUGUAGUAUCUAGACCUGUGUUUGAUUAAAUGUGUGGGAGGAGGUAUGCGUAUAUUGAGAAAUGGCUACUGUCCCCUUCCCAUUCUCCUGAAGGAAUCUCCCUGUAGCCCACUCUAACCAGAAGCAUACACAAAGGGAAUGCUGGGGGUGUCCUUUAGCUCAGCCAAGUUGACAGGUCCCAAAGCCAUCACAGUUUUCAAUGACUCCAUGUGUCUUCACACUCAUGUUUUUAUCUCACAGUACAUCUAGCGAUGAUCUGUCACAAAAACGUAUCUCCCCUCAAUUCCUUGGAAAGACCACCAGCCUCUAAAAAGAUAUUAUCCUCUUCUAUUCUUCCUUUAGUUGUUCUUUAGUUGUUCUCCUUGGGAGUAAAUCCUGUCCAGUUUCACUGCAUCAGUCUUUGGCUCUGUUUUGCUGUAAUGUCCUGGGAAGGGCAGGAUCUAUGCUCUUAUUUUUGUGGUCUCUUCGUUGUAGUCCUUCCAGUUAUGAACUGGGGUUGAAUAACGGCUUUACCACUUAAAAGCUGUGUGAAAUUGAACCAAUCCCUUCCUUCCUCUGGGCUCAAGGUUUGCUUUGUAGGUCAAAUGAGCAAAUAAAGACAAAACACUCUGCUGCCUGCAGACGGCACAUCAUGAUGAUUAUCAUCUCAGCAUUACUUUGUAUUAUUUUCUCAAAGUCCUUAAAGACAACCAUAGAAAAAGUUCUUUAUCCAAACCCAGAGCUCAGGAUGGAUAGCAGCUGGUUUGCUCCUCACUCAACCAAGAGUUAGCUCCAGUUGUUAGUUACUUUAAGACAUUUCUUCAGAGGGACUUCUAAUUGAUAUCAGCCCUUCAUCAUUUUCUCAGAGAUAUAGCCUAGAGAACUAGCGGAGGCAGUGAUAAAUAUAAUAAUGGUAAUUCCACAAAACCUCGAUGUGUGCUAAAGGAUCCAUUGACAGUCUGAACAGCAGGAAGGAAAGAUUCUUCCUACCAAUUAAUGGGAAGCCAAGUCUAAUUUGCCACCUGCACAGCACUUUUGAACCUGUCAGGGAAAAAGGAAGCCAGUGAACCUUCAUCUUGUCGCUAGUCUUCUUGGGGACUGCUUUCCAACGCAAAUGAAAAUAGCAUUCAUUAGAGUAAGAAAUAGAAAGCCUGUGUCAGCUCCCUCUGUUCUCUUCUUGGCUAGAAGUAAAGUCCCUCAUUGUCAGUGAGGAGGUGGUUCCGAAAAGCCCUAAACCUACAUACCCAGGUCCUGAUGCAUGAGGAUGAAGAUUUCUUAAAACUCUGUAGAAAAAUUUAGAGUGUUACUAGUGUUCCUGUGACUGAUGAGUAAAAAGAAAAGAGAGUCCCAUGGUUUCAAAGUCCUAAAUAUGCGAAAACACUCUGGAAGCCAAGAUAAGAUAGUACUUCUGUUAUGAUUUUUUUGGGGGGGGGCUCUCUUGAUCACCUAAGAUGUCAAUACAAACAUUUAUUCAAUCAUUAGUGUGUUCCUUUUUAAAUCAAACACAUGAACAAAAAUAAAACAAAUCCACAGGGAGUUCCUGUCGUGGUUCAGUGAAAAGGAAUCUAACUAGCAUCCAUAAGGACACAGGUUUAAUCCCUGGCCUUGCUCAGUGAGUUAAGGAUCAGGAGUUGCCGUGAGCUGUGGUGUAGGUCGCAGAUGCAGCUCAGAUCCCAUGAUCCUGUGGUUGUGGCUGUGGCCAACAGCUAUAGCUCCGAUUCAACCCCUAGCCUGAGAAUCUCCAUAUGCC
rnacentral:lncRNA from 1 species